rnacentral:rRNA from 1 species
AGGCUGCAACUCGCCUACACGAAGCUGGAAUCGCUAGUAAUCGCGGAUCAGCACGCCGCGGUGAAUACGUUCCCGGGCCUUGUACACACCGCCCGUCACACCAUGAGAGUCUGCACCCGAAGCCGCCGGCCCAACAUCUGAGGGAGGCGUCGAAGGUGUGGAGGGUGAGGGGGGGUGAAGUCGUAACAAGGUAAC